rnacentral:tRNA from 1 species
UUAAUUGAAACCAAAUAGAGGUUUAUCACUGUUAAUGAUAAUAUUGAAUUUAAUUCCAAUUAAG